CGCCGGGACCUGUGCGACGGACGCGGGUGAAUCAUGUCAGGGCCGGAAGGCAGCAGCAUUAAGCCAUGCCGGACGGGCGCCGCAGAUCACCUGGCCGGG
rnacentral:SRP_RNA from 1 species